UGGGCGGAAGCGGUGGAGCUCGAAACUCGAAAGGCAGGGAAGUCAGAGCCGGAAGUCGGUCCCCUCCCCAGGUCCGAAGAGAAUGUUUCCGGAAACAAGGACCCGAAGAUGAGGAAACCGAGGCUCAGAGAUGCAAAACAACGUGCCUAAAACCAAACAACUGGUCCAACAGAGAUUACCCACUACUCAGAGCUUGCUCCUCAACUCCUGAGCGGGGGACAUUUUGGCAGCAUGCCAAAAGAUCUUUGUCUCUCUUGACCUUCUCACCUGGGAAGCCAUCACUGACCAGAGAAUCCAAGUUGUUACAGUGAUCGGGAACCACCGAGGUAUUACCUGUCAAAACUCCUGAAAUUGGCCAUGAGAUUAUUGAAGC